rnacentral:rRNA from 1 species
CCUACGGGAUGCAGCAGUGAGGAAUAUUGGUCAAUGGGCGAGAGCCUGAACCAGCCAAGUCGCGUGAAGGAUGAAUGCCCUACGGGUUGUAAACUUCUUUUAUAAAGGAAUAAAGUGAGGCACGUGUUCCUUUUUGUAUGUACUUUAUGAAUAAGCAUCGGCUAACUCCGUGCCAGCAGCCGCGGUAAUACGGAGGAUGCGCGCGUUAUCCGGAUUUAUUGGGUUUAAAGGGAGCGUAGGUGGGUUUUUAAGUCAGUUGUGAAAGUUUGGGGCUCAACCGUAAAAUGGCAGUUGAUACUGGCAGGCUUGAGUACAGUUGAGGUAGGCGGAAUGCGUGGUGUAGCGGUGAAAUGCUUAGAUAUCACGCAGAACUCCGAUUGCGAAGGCAGCUUACGAAUC